AGGACGAACGCUGGCGGCGUGCUUAACACAUGCAAGUCGAGCGAGGCCCACCUUUCGGGGUGGUGUCCUAGCGGCGAACGGGUGAGUAACACGUGGGCAACCUGCCCUCAGCUCUGGGAUAACUCCAAGAAAUUGGGGCUAAUACCGGAUAUGACUGCUGACCGCAUGGUCUGGUGGUGGAAAGAUUUAUCGGCUGGGGAUGGGCCCGCGGCCUAUCAGCUUGUUGGUGGGGUAGUGGCCUACCAAGGCGACGACGGGUA
rnacentral:rRNA from 1 species